rnacentral:misc_RNA from 1 species
AGGAGGAGGUGGAAACAUGUAUCAGAAUCGUCGUCGUUAAACAAUAUCCAUUAUGCAUCUGGACAAUUCAUUACAUUUUCAUUGUUUGUGCAGGAAGUGCACCUUUUUAUCUUCAUGGCAUGCAGAGGAAUGUUAUUCUGUCCAUGAAUUGGUGUCAGAAAGAAAAAGAACACUGCGCACAUCGUGUUCAUUCCUAUUGCAUAUAUUUCAUAGACAGACUUGAACAUGAAAAAUCACAACUUGUGAAGGAGUACAAUAUGUUGUAUAUAUGUAUUGUUUUUUAUUGUAUUUUUUUUUUGUAGACUUGUGAUUAAAUCUAAAUGACAG